UUAGUGAGAGCUGACAAAAACUAGGGCAACAUAGCUUUAAAAUGCAAACAACAAACACAUGGAUCACGAGAGCACAAACCGAAGGCCACCUGGCUAUGAGGGCUAGCAGAAGGAAGACAAGCUCAUCACAAGCUAGCUAGAAAAGGGUCCAAGCUCUAGCAACCAUGUUGUUCCCAGAUCAUGGGCAUGGAGAGCACCAGGAAGGGACAGCCCUCCUCUUGCUACCUAUUCACUGUGACAAUGCGCAACACUCUCAUUCGUCAGCUGCCGUAGUGUCGAUGCACAGUAUACAGAUGAAGAGAGCAACACAACACAAGAUUGUAACAAUAAUGGGAAAAAUAAGUUACAUCCUAAAUGUUUGCUGAAAUUCUAUGAAUGCCAUUCAGUAUGUGUUGCCUCCGAUCUAAACAUUAUUCUAUGAUAAUUUCUAGGGAUCCUAUAGAGUAGUAUCGGGAAGAAUUUGUAUGAGGUUUUGAAUUCAAUAUUGAUAUUUGAUCUUGUACAAAUUUUAGGUAUUCAAGGGAUAGGUAUGUGCCUUAGAUUUUAAUUUUUGAGAGGGAGUUUGAAGUGUGAAUAUAUUUAAAAUAUUAUGACAGAGGGAAAUAUUGAAGAGAUAUUUGAAUU
rnacentral:lncRNA from 1 species